UGCCGCUGCCCUCCUUGGGCGUUUCCUCCCUAGACUUGGGCCGCUGUUCGUCAGCGGCCCCUUUCUUUUUCGGCC
rnacentral:sRNA from 2 species